UUACCAGGGUUUGACAUACAAGUAGUAGGGAAGGAAACUGGACCGACCUUCGGGGAGCUUGUACAGGUGCUGCAUGGCUGUCGUCAGCCCGUGUCGUGAGAUGUUCGGUUAAGUCCGCUAACGAGCGCAACCCUCGCUGUGUGUUACAAGUGUCACACGGAACUGCCGGUCAUAAACCGGAGGAAGUGGGAUGACGUCAAGUCAGCAUGGCCUUUAUAUCCUGGGCUACACACACGCUACAAUGGGAAGGGACAAUAGGUUGCGAAGCCGCGAGGCGGAGCCAAUCCAGCAAAACUUCCCUCAGUUCAGACUGCAGGCUGCAACCCGCCUGCAUGAAGUUGGAGUUGCUGGUAAACGCAGGUCAGCCAUACUGCGUUGAAUACGUUCCCGGGGCUU
rnacentral:rRNA from 1 species